CCAAUGGAGUUUUCGUUUAUAUCUCCUACCUGGGGAUCGGACCGGUAAUUCGCUAUCUCAUAUCGACGUUGUGGGGACCACGUCUAUAGAAAUGUGCAAGUAACUCUGAGUCAGGAAAAUGUCGGAAAUGGAACUCUUCUACGUUGGAAAUACAACAAAGAGGACUGGAACUCUCCACCCUAACGUUGUGUUAAUAUUUUGGCGCGUGUAACUUUGUUUCAUAUUUUUGUAAAAGUUGUUUCUCUUAAAAACGAUUAAAUUGACAUACGAGAAACAUUUAAAAGUAUAAGGAAAAAGAAAUAUUUUACUCGUGAAUAUAAUUUAUACAGUGUGCCCGUGUUUGGUCUAUGUCAUGUCAUGCCUAGUUUACGAUGUAUAAAGCACUUACACUCCGAUUGUGGUUAAAUUU